UGUCCGAGCUCAUUACUAAAGCUGUUGCC
rnacentral:piRNA from 1 species